rfam:Ovis aries breed Texel chromosome 5, whole genome shotgun sequence.
UCCCUGGGGGCUGAGAUGGUAAAGCAUCUGCCUACAAUGCAUGAGACCCAGGUACGAUCCCUGGGUUGGGAA